rnacentral:rRNA from 1 species
UACGGAGGGUGCAAGCGUUAUCCGGAUUUACUGGGUUUAAAGGGUGUGUAGGCGGGUCUUUAAGUCAGGGGUGAAAUCUCCGAGCUCAACUUGGAAACUGCCAUUGAUACUAUUGAUCUUGAGUACAGAUGCUGUGGGCGGAAUAUGACAUGUAGUGGUGAAAUACAUAGAGAUGUCAUAGAACACCGAUUGCGAAGGCAGCUCACAAAACUGUAACUGACACUGAGGCUCGAAAGUGCGGGGAUCAAACAGG